rnacentral:miRNA from 1 species
AUAAAAACUAAAAUGCACUGGCUUCAAUUUCCCCCCCCUGAGUUAGCCUUCCAGUUUAUUUAUAGUUCAAUGGUCUGACCACGGAGCACAGCUCAUUGAACUAUAAAUAAACUGGAAGGCUAACUCAGGGGGGGAAAUUGAAGCCAGUGCAUUUUAGUUUUU